AUUACGACUGAAGAAGAAAUUGAAGGAAUUGAAGAAAAUUAAGAAAAUUUACAAUUCUCAACAGUUAAUUAUUAUACAUUUCAUACAUGUGAAAUUGACAUACAUGAAGUUGAAAAUCAAGAUGAAGCUGGAUCUAUUAUGUGUAAACUAUGCAUGAAAAAGGAACAGAUUAAAAUUUAAGGCUCUAGUUUGAUGAAAAAAUUUUAGAGACAAGUCAUGCAGCUGUUCCAGACUUCGAAAUUAACGAUUGCGUGGUAAUGGCUGUUCCAAAAGUCGACACAGGGCCUACUGAUCCACCAAAUAUGUUUACAUGGGAUUGUGUACGUUUAUAUGCGUGUGUACGGUUGCAGUGAGUCCUCUUACGAUUACACUACACGGACAUUAUUUGUCGUCUUCGUCUUACAACCAGACUUGGGCCAAACGAAUCGUUCGAUCCAUGGCAAAUACUUGGACACUCUCAUGUAAAAAUAUGGAAAAUCUUUCGUGGCGCACCGCUCCUUGCCGGCUGAUGAGACGCCUACUUGCGUGUACAUGAACGUGUA